GUCAAUGGCAGUUCCAGUAUGACAUCACCAUCUUGACCAAAUCUACUUCUGUGUACUGUGUUCUUGCUUCCAGAGGACAAGUGGCUUAUCAUCUUCCUUUAUGGGAGGAAUUUGUUUAGAUUGAGCCCUGAUGUGGAACCUUGGAGAAGGGCAAGAACUCAGCAAUUCGGGUCAUCUACUAACAUGAUGGAAAAUGACACAGCCAAACAGCUUAACAUGUAUCUGCCUCUGAAGCGUAUUAAAAUACUUAUCGAUGAUUUGAGGGAGGUAGAGAGAAGUUUCAUUGCUCUACUUACAUAUUUAUAGGAAUCUGUGACCCCAAAAUGAUGAAGAACUACUGAUAAGAGAGUAACCAGUUAUAAGAAAUAGAAAUUUCCUCUUUUGAGUCAUGUAAAAAAUUAAAUUUAAAGAUGUUUAUUUCCUUUCC